UGGGCAGAGGGUCAUGUAGUGGAAUAGAGCUGUACCUGGCUUCAGGCGAGACUUGGAGCUCAAAACUUUCAGUAGGACAGCCAGGCGCGGUGGCUGAUGCCUGUAAUCCCAGCACUUUGGGAGGCCGAGGUGGGCGGAUCACGAGCAACUCCAAAAUGGAAGUACUAUUGUUAUCUCCGUUUACAAAUUAGGAAACUGAGGCACAGAUAUGCUCUUGGGUACUUGUCAGCAGCAGUUGUUCUACAAGUAAGGCUAAAUAUCUGGAUAUCUUAAAUCUCAGAUGAGCGUCUUAGCCUCUGGAUUACUGCUCAAUGAGGAAAGCUAUGAAAUGCAUGGAUAACUUGCUAAUCAGUAUUUGCCAUAUGUGCUAGCAGCAUCAGCAUCAGUUGGGAGAUUAUGGUGGCCUCCAUGUCAGACCUCCUAAAUCGGAAUAUCAGAGAAGGUGGCCCAGGUUACCAUGCUUCAUCUGCCAAUGCAUUGAAAACUUGGAAUGUAAAUUAAUUCAACCAUUGUGGAAGAUGGUGUAGUGAUUCCUCAAAGACCUAGAAGCAGAAAUAUCAUUUGAUCCAGAAAUCCCAUUACUGUGUAUACACCCAAAGGAAUAUAAACCAUUCUAUUACAAA
ensembl:lncRNA novel transcript